AGCGUGCUUGGGCGAGAGUAGUACUAGGAUGGGUGACCUCUGGGGAAGUCCUCGUGUUGCACCUC
rnacentral:rRNA from 1 species